rnacentral:rRNA from 1 species
GGCCUAACACAUGCAAGUCGAGGGGUAGCAUGAAAGUAGCAAUACUUUUGAUGACGACCGGCGCACGGGUGAGUAACGCGUAUGCAACCUACCUACUACAGGGGAAUAGCCCGAAGAAAUUCGGAUUAAUGCCGCAUAAUACAGGGGCACCGCAUGGUGAUAUUUGUUAAAGAUUAAUUGGUAGUAGAUGGGCAUGCGUUCCAUUAGCCAGUUGGUGAGGUAACGGCUCACCAAAGCAACGAUGGAUAGGGGUACUGAGAGGUUUAUCCCCCACACUGGUACUGAGACACGGACCAGACUCCUACGGGAGGCAGCAGUGAGGAAUAUUGGUCAAUGGGCGAGAGCCUGAACCAGCCAAGUCGCGUGAAGGAUGACUGCCCUAUGGGUUGUAAACUUCUUUUGUACUGGGGUAAAAAAGAGGACGUGUCCUUUCUUGCAAGUACAGUACGAAUAAGCAUCGGCUAACUCCGUGCCAGCAGCCGCGGUAAUACGGAGGAUGCGAGCGUUAUCCGGAUUUAUUGGGUUUAAAGGGUGCGUAGGCGGGGAUUUAAGUCAGCGGUGAAAGUUUGAGGCUCAACCUUAAAAUUGCCGUUGAAACUGGGUUUCUUGAGUGUAUUUGAAGUAGGCGGAAUUCGUUGUGUAGCGGUGAAAUGCAUAGAUAUAACGAAGAACUCCAAUUGCGCAGGCAGCUUACUAAACU